UUCUAGAAGUCGGUGCGCCAACCUCGUGGAGGUAGCCGCCUAAAGAGUGGAAUGGUGACUGGGGUG
rnacentral:rRNA from 1 species